rnacentral:rRNA from 1 species
AACGAACGCUGGCGGCAGGCCUAACACAUGCAAGUCGAACGCCCUAGCAAUAGGGAGUGGCAGACGGGUGAGUAGCACGUGGGAACCUUCCCUAUAGUAUGGAAUAGCCCAGGGAAACUUGGAGUAAUACCGUAUACGCCCGAGAGGGGAAAGAUUUAUCGCUAUAGGAUGGGCCCGCGUAGGAUUAGCUAGUUGGUGAGGUAAUGGCUCACCAAGGCGACGAUCCUUAGCUGGUCUGAGAGGACGACCAGCCACACUGGGACUGAGACACGGCCCAGACUCCUACGGGAGGCAGCAGUGGGGAAUAUUGGACAAUGGGCGCAAGCCUGAUCCAGCCAUGCCGCGUGAGUGAUGAAGGCCUUAGGGUUGUAAAGCUCUGUUGCCGGGGACGAUAAUGACGGUACCCGGAGAAUAAGUCCCGGCUAACUUCGUGCCAGCAGCCGCGGUAA